GUACUACGUAUACAGAUGUGUGUAUCUCCGGUUGAUGUCGGAAGGCCUCGCUCGACGUAACGCUCGUAGUCGUAUCAUUGACAUGACAUGUUGUGCAAGCAAGGUGCCACAAAGCAACGUCAACAGAACCCUCCACUCAGGACGUUCCAGUAGCUGUCGACCAUUCGUACCCAACGGCGGCAGCAGCAGUUGGAAAGAAGAAGAAGAGGAUAAAACUACCAGGUGCUCUAAAGUUUGGUUGACAGGCACCGUGCACAGUACGUUGCAUACAGAGGUUACUCGGAAGUUCUCAGUUGGUGUAACUGGUCUGUUGCUCUGAUGAUCUCUUCAAGGGCAAAAGCUGAGCCAAGCUGAGACACGGGAAAUCAAUCUUGAUCUCUUUUGAAGCAGGGAGCCUGUCUAAAAGCUCAGUCUGUGUGAACGGUAGGUUUAUUAUCCAAAUAAAAGCUCUGCCGACCCUUCAAAUACCAGUAACCACUGGUGUUAUCUACAAAGAUCAGCAUUUCAAAGAAUAAUAAUGAUAACAUGUUCGAGGCAAGAUAUUGUGUUCAAGUGGUUGCAGAGGGCCAGAUACAUCACCACUGUCCAGCUAACUGUGUACAUUGCUCAUGUACAUACUACUAUCCGCAAUGGUGUCUACUGGAUUGCUUUCUGCUCUCUUCCGACUGGCUCAUGAUUGCCUACUGGCAGGACUGUUACAGCCAAUCAGCCGGACCGGGAAGUUACCGGUAUUAGAAAUGUUUCAAAUAUUUUUCAGGAGCCUCCAUGCCUCAAGAUGAAAAGGUUUCGACCAUGAUCUGCCCUCGUCCAAUGCCACUUACACACAUGUUUGCCACAUCGAACAGGCUCACCAUGCUGUGCAUGCAUGCAACGAGCCUGACGAUUACAUUGCCCGGUUACUACUGUGGUCUUCUGAAUGAGUGUUAUGUGACGUGACUUGAGAAAGUAGCAAGUACAGUGAGAUGAGUUUAGGUCUGCGGCCCGCCACUGCACUGGGUGAUUGAUGUACGAGCCGUCCGGUAUUAGAUUUACUCGUGUAGACCCGCUAGUAUCACGCGCGAUUCGGGGGGCUUGGAAAUCUCUAUGGUAGCAGAGUCCGCGGAGGCAGAGCAUCAGGUAUCACUUGCUAUCACGGCGCCAAUAGUGAACUUGAUCGACGCCCACCCAAACGAAAGCGAGCGAGACACCCCAGCCAUCAGCCCGGACCCAAACUCGCAAAGCGUCUUGAGUAUCGUGGAGGGCAUGGUCAAUCCUGUUCUCGGAACGUUGGCGAGGCACGAGGCAUCGCCCGACAAAAGCACCAGGAAAAGUCGGUGGGUGGCGGCAGCAGCAGACAGAGCUUGCCGCAGAGCGUUCAUCAGUUCAGCGACGCGACAGCUGCUCGCAGUAGCAGACGAAAAGGGCGUGUCAACGUGGUUAACAGCACAACCGUCCUGGAAAAACAGCACCUUGCUGAAGAAGUCGGAUUUCAGAGACGCGCUAUGCAUGCACUAUGGGCUGCCACUGUAACGUGUAUGUGAUGAUUGUGUCUGUGGGAAGUCUAUGAUACCCACCAUGCCCUCACGUGCCCGACCGGUGGUUAUCCGUCGGCUCGCCAUAACGAGCUUCGGGACCUUCUAGCCUGUGUACUGCAGGAGGUACUGGCCGAUGUCGAGAUUGAGCCACGUUUGCUCCCACUACAAGGUGGGGACAUCUCUGCCGCUUCGGCUAAUCGUCAGCCAGAGGCACGCCUGGACAUACGGGCCAAUGGUGUCUGGUCUCGGCUGCAGGACGCCUUUUUUGAUGUAAGGGUCACUGACCUUGGGUCGUCCUUGCUGUCUCGUCCGGAAAUCCUUACUUAGCCACAUGAGAGAAGAAGAAGGCGUAUGGUGCCAGAGUCAACCAAGUGGAGAGAGCAUCAUUCGCCCCACUGGUGUUUCGACCUCGGGUGUGGCGGGCAAGGAAACCACCAUAAUAUUCCUCAAGUCACUAGCUGCUUUGGUUGCAGACAAGAACAAAGACUUGGUGUAUUCGGCCGUGAUGGGUGAGUUACACAGCCGGGUUUCGUUUUUGCCUGCUGCGAUGGGCAGUCAAGUGCUUUAGGGGCUGCAGGCCCAGUGCAGGGCCUCUUACAUUCGCCAGAACUUGGCGCAAGGUCGGGAGCCCAUUUGCAGCAUUGCCGCCGGCUGUGCGGACACGGGCAGAGGCGUGACUUGACUUCGCCUUUGCAUGCUGGUAGGCCAUUUAGAUAACGGUUUCUUGUCAAGCUUUUGUGUUCAAUCUUACAUUUCGAUUAUUUGAGUGUUCUAUUUAUUUCGAAUUUGGGUUGUCUUUUUGCUUUGCUUCUUACUUCAUGGUUUCACGCGAUUGGUGUUGUGAAUAUACCCGUUUUCAAGUACCGGUAUGUCUGUGACCUAGCAUACCGGCCAUCACACCUACCCUGGCCCUGAGAUCUACCGCGGAGGCGCGCGGGAAACACCUCUGAGCGUAGACUACUACCGGUACUUCAGUAGUAGGUCU